rnacentral:rRNA from 1 species
UACAGAGGUGGCAAGCGUUGUUCGGAAUUACUGGGCGUAAAGGGCGCGUAGGCGGCCUUCUAAGUCAGACGUGAAAUCCCCCGGCUUAACCUGGGAACUGCGUCUGAUACUGGGAGGCUCGAGUAUGGGAGAGGGAUGUAGAAUUCCAGGUGUAGCGGUGAAAUGCGUAGAUAUCAGGAGGAACACCGGUGGCGAAGGCGGGUCUCUGGGCAACAACUGACGCUGAGGAGCGAAAGCGUGGGGAGCGAACAGG